AAUCAACGCUGGCGGCGUGCCUAACACAUGCAAGUCGAACGCGAAAGUGGAGCAAUCCAUGAGUAGAGUGGCAAACGGGUGAGUAACGCGUGGGCGACCUACCUUCGAGUGGGGGAUAACAUUCCGAAAGGAGUGCUAAUACCGCAUGACAUCCCGUGUUUGGAUACACGGACAUCAAAGCAGGGGAUCGCAAGACCUGGCGCUUGGAGAGGGGGCCCGCGUCCGAUUAGCUAGUUGGUGAGGUAACGGCUCACCAAGGCUCCGAUCGGUAUCCGGCCUGAGAGGGCGGACGGACACACUGGAACUGAGACACGGUCCAGACUCCUACGGGAGGCAGCAGUGGGAAUUGUUCACAAUGGGCGCAAGCCUGAUGACGCAACGCCGCGUGGAGGAUGAAGACUUUCGGU
rnacentral:rRNA from 1 species